UGCGCUGCUUGUAGCCCCGCCCUUCCCGUCACGUGAUUUCGGUAGGUCUCCCCUCCAGACUUUAGGGGAGCUGUGCGCGCUGUCUGCCUCGAGACAAUCGGCACUACAUAAAUUCAACUCAGGUGCUUGAAAUUCGAUUCUCCUCUGCAGCUCAUCUAGUUCCCUGAAAGACAAAACCACUCAUCCAUUACACCGACUCCAGUCCUCGCUGAGCUGCUCCGAUCAUUCCAAAACAUUACAUCAUUGCACAGAGAGGGAACAUCGCUACUAUGGCCAGAGCGGCUGCCAAGGCGUCUGCACAGGACUGUACACUGGCUCCUUUGUGAUGUCCACAAUGUGUGUCCAAGGCAACCGCUAGGUAGAGAGGACAGCCCAUAAGGGAACGCUUCUCGUCUUCUUCUCCACAACACAUGGUAAUGUUGAACAUUCUUUCUUUGUCUGUAACGUUGUCACACACCGACUGUUUGAAGAUGCUUCUGCUGGAGUCUGCUGGAGGUCCGUGUUGCGCGUAUCAUGUUCUUCGCUGAAUGCGGACCAUUGAUGUCUCACGAAAGCCGUGUCAGGUUUGGGCCUUUGCUUCUGCGCCCCGGGAUCUUCCCUGCAGGCCGUAGAGCAUCCAGAAGCCAUGUUUGAGGUCUGCUCUGCUUGUUUAUGUACGGUUACACCCAGAGCUGAAUUUAACCCCAGCUUCCAUCUGCUGCAGCACCCAGGGCCUGACGGAGAUGAGACCGGUUUGGGUCGGUCUGCGCCGCUCGCUUGCUACUAAGCACAGCUUGCUCCUAUGUGUUAUUAUCGUCAGAGGCGUCUCCUCUGUGGCAAUAUUCUUUUUUAGACUUUUUUUUUUUUUUUUUUUUGCUUACGUUGACCUUAAGGUUCAUUUAAGGUACUUCGUAGCCAAAUUUAUAGUAAAUAGGAAAAUGUUUAAAUCAUAAAUAAGGAAAUAUUUAACAAAGAAUAGGAAAAAAAGAAGAAAGAGAUUUUUAAUUAGCAUUUUAUACAAUUGUUUUCCCACUAAAUUUCCAUUUUAAAUAAUAGUUAAUAAAGAAUAAUAAAAAAAAUACUAGAAUUUUAUUGAAUUUAGUUUAGAUUUCCUAGUUCGUGGUAAAUAUGAAAAUACUGAAAUAAUGAACCGCUAAAUAAUGAACACAAAGAAUAAAACACAUUAACAAUUUUGAAUGUCAUUUUAUUUUCUAGGACCAUUUAUAUUAUACCAUUUUAUGAAUUUUUACUUUUAGCCAGAUUUCAUGUCAAUUGUAUGAGUUUUAAAUAAUAAAUGAGAAAAUGUUCAACAAGGAAAAUGCAUCCCAACAAAAGUAUGUUAUCACUUGACAGUUUUUUUUUUUGUUUUUUUUUUUACAUUUUCUUUUAGUCAGACCUCAUGUCAUUUUAUGGUAAAUAUGAAGACAUUUUCUUUUAAAGCAAUGUUAAAAAGGUGUAAAAUAUCAUUUACUUUUUUUUUUCAAUCGUUAUAUAUUUUUAUUAGCGUUUUAGCCAAUUUUGCCACUUUAUUCUAAUAUAUUUCUGCACCCAACCGUGUUUUCAGAUGACAUUUAUGUAGUCACUCUAAACUGGCGCUUUCCAUCCCUCCUCGUCAUGCCACAGAGCUGGUAUUCUGGGCUUCAGUGUGCCCUAUUGGCCUAGCCACAGCCCGGCAGCCUUUCAUUACACCAGCCUGAAGGAGGUGCCCUGGACAUCCCCAUCGAAGACGCCGUCACCACACCCCAAAGCGUGCCCAGCUCCGAGCUGUUCCCUGGAUACAUCAACAAGAGACAUGAGAAAACAGACGCUCUGUUUGCACAUCAUUUAACUGGCAAUCAAGACGUUCUUCCGGUAUCCCUGCAGCUCUUCAUGGAACAAGUUUGGUUUGGAAACGGAUGGAUGUCAUGGCUGGAACUACACCGCCCCCUGCUGAUCAAAUAAAACUCAAGGCACUUCCUUCCACAUUCUAGAAAAAGUCUCAGCAGAUUAAUCUGGUUUCUGAACUGAGCAUCAGCAGCUGCUCCUUAUCCUUAUCAUUGCUGUAACGACAGGCCAACCGUCGCCUCCCACAGAAUCCUGCAGGGACCUGAAUUAAUACUCGGUAUAAUUCCACACAAUCCCAAGAAAAAAAUUCUCGUCCUGCUGCCAGGCCACUUGACUCGUGUGCUCCAGCGGGCUCUGGAUGGCACCAGCAAUCUCUGUAAUCGGUCGCUAAGCCCCUGCGCUGCUCAGUUCAGCUGCUUCCUCACAGCAUUUAAAAAAAAAAAAAGAGCAGAGCUGGGGUGCAUUGUGUGUCAAACAUGUAUGUUUAUCCUGUCCACUAAUUAAAAUGGGGAUGCUUAA